UUCCUACGGGAGGCAGCCGUCGGGCCUCUUCCCCCCUGUUCUCCCGCCUGCUGGAGCAACGCCGCGUGGGUGAAGAAGGUCUUCGGAUCGUAAAACCCUGUUGUUAGAGAAGAAAGUGCGUGAGAGUAACUGUUCACGUUUCGACGGUAUCUAACCAGAAAGCCACGGCUAACUACGUGCCAGCAGCCGCGGUAAUACGUAGGUGGCAAGCGUUAUCCGGAUUUAUUGGGCGUAAAGGGAACGCAGGCGGUCUUUUAAGUCUGAUGUGAAAGCCUUCGGCUUAACCGGAGUAGAGCAUUGGAAAG
rnacentral:rRNA from 1 species